rnacentral:lncRNA from 10 species
GAAAAAGAAGGAAAGCAAGCAAGGAAGCAAGUAGCCAAAGCCCUGGGAACCCAUCGAGGAAUGGCCCCGGAGGCAGAGUUACCCUCAGCCACAGGCCAGAGAUCAAACGUCGCUGAACCAGUGUGAGGAAAAGAAUGGCAGGCAGACGUCUUCUUUUUCCGCACACAGACUGUAAUCAGCUCUCCACAAGGUCAUCCCAGAACACCAAGGACAGUCCAGAUACCUCCAGGCUCUCCUCAGUAAUGGACGGAAGCAGUGGUGCAGAUAAUCUGCCCAAAUGGCGG